rnacentral:rRNA from 1 species
AUUGAACGCUGGCGGCAGGCUUAACACAUGCAAGUCGAGCGGGGGAAGGUAGCUUGCUACCGGACCUAGCGGCGGACGGGUGAGUAAUGCUUAGGAAUCUGCCUAUUAGUGGGGGACAGCACCUCGAAAGGGAUGCUAAUACCGCAUACGUCCUACGGGAGAAAGCAGGGGAUCUUCGGACCUUGCGCUAAUAGAUGAGCCUAAGUCGGAUUAGCUAGUUGGUGGGGUAAAGGCCUACCAAGGCGACGAUCUGUAGCGGGUCUGAGAGGAUGAUCCGCCACACUGGGACUGAGACACGGCCCAGACUCCUACGGGAGGCAGCAGUGGGGAAUAUUGGACAAUGGGGGGAACCCUGAUCCAGCCAUGCCGCGUGUGUGAAGAAGGCCUUAUGGUUGUAAAGCACUUUAAGCGAGGAGGAGGCUACUUUAGUUAAUACCUAGAGAUAGUGGACGUUACUCGCAGAAUAAGCACCGGCUAACUCUGUGCCAGCAGCCGCGGUAA